GGGCGCAUGGUGUAGUUGGUUAUCACAUCCGCUUAGCAUUUCUGCGUUUGCGGGGGGUGCUGGGUUCAAUUCCCAGUGCGUCCA
rnacentral:tRNA from 1 species